UACGUAGGGGGCAAGCGUUGUCCGGAAUUAUUGGGCGUAAAGAGCGUGUAGGCGGUCCGGUAGGUCAGCUGUGAAAGUCAAGGGCUCAACCCUUGAAUGCCGGUUGAUACUGUCGGGCUAGAGUCCGGAAGAGGCGAGUGGAAUUCCCGGUGUAGCGGUGAAAUGCGCAGAUAUCGGGAGGAACACCAAUGGCGAAGGCAGCUCGCUGGGACGGUACUGACGCUGAGACGCGAAAGCGUGGGGAGCAAACAGG
rnacentral:rRNA from 1 species